rnacentral:rRNA from 1 species
GUCUAUGCCCAUGCUACCCUAAACAAGCCUGAUCCCAUCUGAUCUCGGAAGCUAAGCAAGAUUGGACCUGGUUAGCAAGAGGGGAGACCACCUAGGAAGACCAGGAGCUGUAGGUG